rnacentral:rRNA from 1 species
UACAGAGGUCUCAAGCGUUGUUCGGAUUCACUGGGCUUAAAGGGUGCGUAGGCGGCUGCCUAAGUCAGGUGUGAAAUCUCCCGGCUCAACCGGGAAACUGCGCUUGAUACUGGGCGGCUCGAGUGAGGUAGGGGUGUGUGGAACUUCCGGUGGAGCGGUGAAAUGUGUAGAUAUCGGAAGGAACGCCAGCAGCGAAAGCGGCACACUGGGCCUUUUCUGACGCUGAGGCACGAAAGCCAGGGGAGCGAACGGG